AUGUAGACUGCUAGUUACAGAGGCAAGCCAGUGGAACAGGAGACAGCCACUGAACAGGCUACUUCCAGAGCCACCCAAGCUGACAGCCAAGCAACAUGCCUCAGGAAGAUGGAGUAGGCUGAAGAAAGUUGCUCAAAUUCCUGCCAGAUGACUAAUUGGCAGGUCCUGGUAACGUGCAUCAAAGAGUUUUAAAAGAAGUGGCUGAGGAGCUCCCUGGACCAUCAAUGUUGAUUUCCAAAAAGUCCUGGAAUACUGAAGAACUUCCAGAAGACUGGGAGAAAGAUGGACGAGUGAGGUACAGAGAGGUUAAAUGAUUUGCUUGAGACCACAGAGCUAGUCCGUGUUAGAACCAGAAUUACAGCCCAGGAGUUCCAGGCCUACAGUUCUUCCUCAACACCACUAGAUCAUACUUCACCUUUUCUGAG